rnacentral:lncRNA from 1 species
UCCAUUCCACGAGCGCCUCGGCUUCUCCCGGCGCGGAGCUCGCGCCGCGCAGUUGUGAGGACGACAGGAGCAGGAAGACGAGAAGCGUCGCGCCCCACAAAGCUUGUCCUUGAUGGGCAUGGCGCUCCUCCAUCGCUCGCAGGGCCUGGGCACACUUUGGGAUGGAUGAGUUGGAUCGCGAAUGUGGAGCUGUGAAUUGCGCGCGCAUCCUUUGAAUUCAGCACCAGGACCUGCUGCUGGAAUCACACAACACGUGUUGAUCCAUGGAGAGUGCAGCUGCCGUCAUGGCGACCAUUACCACGAACGAGUGGAUAGUCGUUAUAGCUUGGAAAUUUGGAAGUUGAUCGGGCUGGUGGUUGCAGAGGCGCUGUCAGGAUUACUUACUAUAUUCAGGUAUUGCUGUAUAGGAUACUACAAUCAAUGGAGCGAAAGAGGUGACAUGUCCGUCAGAGCAAAUCCAUGAGCCCCCUUGAUAUUAUAUUACUCCAUCUGUUUUUUGUUUUUUUGGCUAGACUCCCUCGGUAAAUUAAUACGGAGUACUUUUUUAGAUGAAUUUUUUAGGGCUAUUUUUUAAGGGGAAAAGCUAACCAUCAGCCGGCGGAUUAUAAUGGCCGCAUCAGCCACCUCCCCCGUAAGACACGGGUUCAAGUGACUAUGCGGUUCUGCAACAAAGACUAUGUUUCUGAAACAUAUGCGAUGUUGCAGUGGUCUACUAUAGAUUUAUGUUCUGACCAUCCGGCGGCCGCCAGCCGCCCAUGCCGUCCAUGAACGUUGCAAAAAAAUUCCGCAACUUGACGUUUGUUGUAAAAAUUCCUGAAACAUGACCUUUGUUGGAAAAAAUUCUACCGCAAAAGUACCUAUGUUGCAGAAAGACGAAGAAAAAUAAUCCUGCAACAAGCAAAUUAUUUCUGAAAGUCGACGUUGUUUCAGGAAUUAACCGGUCCAAAGUUUAUUUCUUGCAACAAAGCGAAAGUUUCUGCAACUUAGCCAUCGUUUCAGGAAUUAUGGGGUGCCUGACCGGAGCAGAUCCGACGUCACGUGUAGAUCGGACGGCCCUCCAAGUGGUGGAUGUUUAGUAAACAUCCACCGGUGGAUGCGUAGCAGGCCCCAUUUUUUAAUGAUGAUUUCUUAUCUCUCCCUAAUAAUAAAGCACCUUGUGCUUCUGUCGACCGUCGUGGUUGUUUUGCACAAAACCCCCUAAAGUUUUCCGAAAUCAACCCGCAGUCCCGAUUUAAGUGAAUAACCAAUCGUUUUGGUAUUGUUUACAGAUAACCCCCUGUGAGUUCCCGAAAUCAACCCGCAGUACAUAAUUAGCUGAGAGAACGAAACGUUUUUUUGGAGUUUUUGUAAAAAACUCCUUCAGUUUUCACAAAAUAAACCCGCAGUACAUACUUGAGUAAAAAAACAAUCGUUUUCCGUAUGUUUUCGUAAACACCUCUACAGUUUUUAAUUAAUUAAUCUUUAGUUUAAUUAUAAGUGCAAAAUACUUUAAAAAAUCAUAUGUUUUAAACGAUAACUCCAAUCUACAUUAUUAUAUAUGAAUUUUUAUUAGAAAAAUAUAUAGAAUCGGAAUAUAAUGUUUAUUUAUCUAUUUAAUUUUUUAAAAUUGUGUUUAUAAUAUAAUUUUAAUCAAUAGUGAUGCGCACAAUUAAUAUAAUGUUAUUUUAUCUAUUUAAUAAUUUUAAAAUUAUAUUUAUGCUGUAAUUUUAAUCAAUAGCGUAUAAUCCAUCUUUUCAUAACGAGGCCGGUCCACGUAGUUAAUUAAUCCGCGGUUUAAUUAUAAUUAACAAAUACUUUAAAAAAUUAUAUUUUUUAAACUGUAACUCUAAUUUAAAUUAUUACAUAUGCACUUUCAUUCAAAAAAUGUGUUGAAUCGAAAUAUAAUAUUUCUUACAUAUUUAAUUUUUAAAUUUCUAUCUAUAAUGUAAUUUGAAUUUAUAGUGAUGCGUACAAUCUAAAUAUGAUGUUAUUUUACUUAUUUAACAAUUUUUAAAUUCUAUUUAUGCAGUAAGUUUAAAUAAGGUCUUAAAUCAUGAUUAUUAGGUUAUGACAUGUUUGUACGGUUUGCUCCCGUUGCAACGCACGGGCUCUUUUGCUAGUACUAAUAGAGAAAAUAGUGCUUCUUUCGUACGUCAUCCAAAUUGCCCUUAAAGUUGACUAAAAUUACCCACCAAUGCCACCUAUAAGUCAUAAAAAACGUUUCAAACAGGAAAAUCUGCGAACUGGGCUGGCCCAUGUAGGCACAUCCUAUAUUACGCUCUAGGCGUUGAAAAAAGGUGCAGUACACCUGUUUGGGCCGGCCCAUGCGUGGGCGCCUGUUUUUUCAGUUCAGUUUUUUUAUUUUUAUUUUCUGUUCCAUUUUGUUUUUGUACUUUAAAUAAUUUAGAACUUCAAACAACUUCUCAAUUUUAAGAAACUGAGAAUUUCGAAAUAAAUUUUCAAAAAAACUUUUUUAUUGAGAAUUCAAAAACUACUCAGGAAUUUUGAAAAAUGUUUGUAUAUAGAAAAAUGUUUACACUUUGAGAAAAUGUCCAUAAAAUAAAAAAGUCAACGAUUUUAAACAAGAGUCCGUGUAAAAAUCUUAAAACAUUUUGUGCCUCUAUUUUUAGUCUCAUUUUUUAUUUUCAUUUUUCUGUUGCAUUUUUUAGUUUAAAUAAUUUAGACCUUUGAAAAACUUUUGCAAUUUAUAAAACUGGGAAUUUUGAAAUAAAGUUUGAAGAAAAUAUAAAAUGUUUGUGAAUUCAAAAAAUUCUCAAGAUUUUUGUAAAAAUAUUCGCAUAUUCAGAAAAAUGUUCAUAAUUUUGAGAACAAUGUUCGUGAAAACAAUAAAAGUCCAUGAUUUUGAAAAAAAGUUUGUGUGUUAUUUUUUGAGUGCAAUUGAAAAAAAUGUUUGCUAAUUCAAAAAAUGUUCAUGCAUUUCAAGAAAUGUUCUUAAAUUUUAAAGACAUAAUAUGAUCAGCACCAUUGAAGAUUAUAAUUAUUAUUUUUCCGUUGCAACACACGGGUCCUUUUGCUAGUUUAACAUAAGCAUGGAACACUUCUAUCGGGCCACCGUGCAGGAAGGAUCAUGCAAACCAAACGGCGAAACAAUGGAAAAGCUAUAAAAAAUCCUGUGCUUUUCUCUCCCUAAUAAUAAAGCGCGCAGCGCUUCUGCCCGUCCGUCAUAGCGAUUUUGUAAAAAAGCCUUCGACGUUUUCUAAAAUCAACCCGCAGUCCGGAUUUAAGUCAGAAAACGAAUCGUUUUUUGCAUUUUUCUAAAAAAAACCCUGAUGUUUCAGGUAAUCAACCCGUAGUCCGGAUUUUAACAAAAAAAACCUAACUUUUAAACCGUAACAAAAUUAUCCAUAUCUUUUAAACCAUAAUACUCACGGACUUAAAUCAUAAUACUCAAUGAAAGAUUCUCCGGAUGUUGCAACGCACGGACUCUUUUGCUAGUUUGAUUUAAAAAACAUUUCAAACCAUAAUACUCAAUGAAAGAUUCUCCGGAUUAUUUCUAGGACAAUAAUCCUACAUCUCGAUGGUUUAUAUAAAAGUUCGAUUGCACCUACUUAUAUUUUCAAGACAGAUUGUCACAAGUAUAUUUGGCUCCAAUAUUCCACUUCAAUAUAUUUACGUGAAGUAGUAAUUCAAUAUAUUUUAUGGCAGACAAUUCUUAUAUGAUUAGUUUUGCGAGGAUAUUAUUAAAAAGUGAUUAAAAUUAAUUUCAAAUUAAUGACCGUCAUCUAACCCAAAAAUUGGUAUCAAGUACUCCCUCGGCACCAUAGUAAAAAACACUCUUAUAUUAUACACUUUCUUGGUCCGGAAAUACUUAGGAUAAUAAUGAAUGUAUCUAGAUGUAAUUUAGUUCUAGAUACGUCCAUUUGCAUUCAUUUUUAUGACAAGUAAUUCUGACUGAAGGAAGUAGAACGAAAGGAGUAUGUGUUACAUUAUCUUCUCCCUUCAUAUCAUAGUUUAUCUAACUUUCAAGGGCCCCCAUGACAUGGCUUGCAUGCUCCUCCUAUUGUCCUUGUAUGUACUUCCUUUAUUUUUUUAAAGGUGUGCUUUAUUACUUAAAAGAUUUAAGUUACAUCCGGCCUCUGCAUAACUAAGAUGCACACAGUCAAAAAUUAUCUUCUUACACAAGCGAAAAAUAAAAGGCGAGAUACAAAGAACAUGUAGAGUGUGUAUAACGCCUAAAAAGAAAGGGGGGGCAAUCCUAAGAUCAUGCUGCCACCCAUGUAAGGUAGAAGUAUCCCUCGUUGUAGCCUUCAAUCGUGUACACACCUUCGUAAACAUGUCUCGAUUCUUCACGCGUUGUAGAGAGCACCAUAAACAAAGAGUCUUGGUACGUAUGUAUAUAACCUGCAUAAGACAAGCACUUCGAUCGUUAGAAACCUUAUCAUUUCUACAUAGCCAAAGCGAUCAAAUAACGGCAAGCGCUCCCACCCUAAGAAGAGUUCUAAACCUAUGACCAAUCUCAUAUAACCAGUUGACAAAAACAUUACCAACAUUACAAGGAGGAUACACGUCAGAAGCUAUUUGAAUGACUCGUCAUAUAUCACGAGCCAGUUUGCAUUGUAAGAAUAAAUGGUUUAUAGUCUCAUCAUGGUUAUAGAAGACACAUUGCAGACUCCCAUGUCAAUUCCUCUUAAUAAGGUUAGCUUUAGUAAGAAUGAUUCCGCGACGAAGAUAACAUGCAAAGAUUUUAUUUUUUAAGAGGUAUCUUCAUCUUCUAGACCCUCUUGUUAUUAUCUAGUGGCACAUCAGACUGGAUUAAAGCUCUAUACAUCGAGUCCACUGAGAAUUGUCCAUUACCAUGUAGGUUCCAUCGGAAUACAUCGGACCCAUGUGACAAUUGCACCGUGGACAACCACUGGAGUAGGAUGUUCCAUGAUUGUAGUGUGGGUCCAAUUAAAUCCCUUCUGAAUGUCACAUUUGGCAGAAAUGAUUCCAAUACCGUGGCGACAGUAUCAUCCUUGUGACGCACAAUGUUGUAUAGAGCCGGAUAUUGUUCCUAGAGUGUGUCAUUUCCAAUCCACUUAUCCUCCCAAAAUCUAAUUUGUGAACCGUCUUUUAUGGAGAAGGAUCCACAGCAGAAGAAAUAUUCCUUCGUAACCAUUAGCCCCACCCAAAAGUGAGAAUCUCGAGUCUUCUAGUAUACUUGUGAUACUGUCUUGGAACCCACAUAUUUCCUCCUCGGUAGGGUUUGCCAUAAACCGUUUUCCGAUAGUAAUUUAAACAACCAUUUACCGAGGAGGGCCCUAUUCUUAACCUCGAGGUCAUGAAUGCCCAACCAACCUUGGCCUUUUGGACAGAAAACUACACUCCAUUUAGCCAGCCGAUAUUUCUUUCUCUCGCUAUCUCCUUGCUAAAAGAAUCUUGAUCGAAAAUAAUCUAAUCUAUGUAAAACUCCCUUCGGCACCUAGAAGAAGGAAAUCAUAUACAGUACCAUAUUACUUAGUACUGAAUUUAUGAGGACCAAUCUUCCGUCGAGAGACAACAAUUUACUUAUCCAACCGCUAAGUCUUUUUUGUAGUCUCUCCUCGACGUGUUUCUAUUCAACAUUAGUGAGUCUCCGAUAAUGUAUCGUUAUCCCCAAAUGUGUGAUCAUAAACUGACCCAACCCGCAUUCAAACAAGUCGGUGUGUAGGUGAGCCUUGAUGAAGAAAACAAUUCACUUUUAUGAAAAUUAAUCUUAAGACCUCAAAGUUGCUCGAAUGCUGAUAAAAUUAAUUUCAGAUUUCUUGCUUUCUCUAGGUUAUGAUCCAUGAAGAGAAUCGUAUCAUCGAAUUUUUUAAGUAUAGGGAGUCCACCAUCAACUAGAUGAUUUACGGCCCCAUCAAUUUGGCCAUCAACCUUGGCACGCUCAAUCAUGACAGCUAGCAUAUCUGCCACUAUAUUGAAUAACAUGGGCGAUAGCGAAUCACCUUGUCGUAAUACCUUCUUCGUUUGGAAAUAGUAGCCAAUACCAUCAUUGACCUCAAUGACAACACUACCUCAAGAAAUGAAGCUAUGGAUCAUAGCGCGCCACUCUACCGAAAAUCCUUUCAUCAGGAUGGUUUGUUGAAGAAAGGGUCAUUUGACAUUGUCAUAAGCUUUUUUCAAAGUCUAUUUUGAGUACCACCCCAUUCAACGUUUUUCCAAUGUAAUUCAUGGACUGUUUCAUGAAGGAUAACAACACCAUCUAGGAUUUGUCUACCUUGCAUAAAAGUUGUCCGUGAAGGACGAACCACAUGUUCAGCGACCGAAUUCACCCUAAUAGUCCCAACCUUCAUGAAUAUUUUAAAACUAACAUUGAUGAGGCAAAUAGGUCUAUAUUGUUGUAUCCUUACAACCUCAUUAAGCUUAGGUAAUAAAAUAAUAUCACCGAAGUGUAAGCGAAACAAAUUUGAUUGGCCAGCAUGUAGGUCGCUAAAAAAAAGUAGGAUAUCUAGUUUGAUGACUUCCGAGAAGUUCUGAUAGAACUUUGUAGGAAAUUCAUCCCGCCCCGGGGCUUUGUUAUGCUCCAUCAAGAAAACCACCUUUCUAACUUCCUCCUUGGAGUAUGGGGCUGUUAGAAGGUUGUUUUCCUCAUCAGACACCCGAGGGAUGUCAUCUGUUCAGAACUCAUCCAUUGAGAAGUUCCCUUCCUCCGGGGCUCCAAAUAGAUUCUUAUAAUAAUUGGUGAUAUAAAUUUUAAGUUGCUCAUGCCUCUCAAUCAUACCCUCAUCCCGUUAUAAGGAAUGAAUAGGUUUCUUCCGGUGUCUACCAUUGGCGACUCCGUGGAAAUAUCUAGCAUUCGAAUCACCUUUUAGGAUAAAUUGAGAAUUAGAAUGUUGGUACCAUUUGAGUUCCUCUUCACGCAUCAUGCUAGCUAUCUAUGCAUUUGAUUGACUCUUGAUAUCGAUUUCAUGCUUAGAUAGAGGUCUAACUUCUACCAAAGCUUCUAAUUGAUCAAUGAUAGAUUAAAGACGAAGCUUCUCUUUUUUGAGGAUACCCACCGUAUGCCUAGCCCAACCACCAAGAAAUUUACGUAAUGCACAUAUUUUGUUGUUCCAUUGAUUUAUUAGGGUAUGCUUGACCACCGGGUUCUCCCAUACCUUUUUGACCAUGUCAUGUAAUCCAUCCUGAUGCAGCCAACCAAGUUCGAACUUGAACUUAAGUCUAUGUUGAAAUUAAGGGCAUGAAGUCUAAAUUUUAAGUAUGUACUUCCUACCAUUAAUUUUUUGUAAAGUGCUCGGUGAGGGCAUUCCCUCCUCAAAAUUUCCUUUUGCAAUUAAAGAAAAUGCAAAAAUAAAUAUCAUAUUUACUUUCCCUAUGUACUUCUCUCUUCUAUGAUACAUAUCAACCUACUUCUAGCAUUCUACCCCUUUGCUUCGACAACCCCACCUUGUUGAUCUCCUCCAUCAUAGCACCCUUCUCUCUCUCCUCUUGAAUCUAUUUUUGCCCCCCUAAGACCUUAGUUCUCAUUUGCAUCAGGUGUGCCUAUUUAGAGAGCAAUCAUGCAUUUUAUUAAUAUAUUGGUGCUCAAAGUAAAGAUUUUCUCUGCAGUUUUGUGCUAUCUUUUAAGGGGUAUCAGUAUUAUGGGAGAAAAUCAUACAUCCUCAUUCCUAUUUUUUUCAUAUCAUGAAAAAAAUAAAUGCCCAUAGGUACAGGAUGAAAAUAUUUGAAUGCAAGCUACAUAUUGGGGGAUAAUGAAUGGGAACAUACAAAGGGAGCACGAAAGUUGCGUCCAUAGUUCAAGCAUGCAUUUUAUUCUAACAACCAACUUAGCACAUUUGUAACCCUCAUGUCUUGGAAGGAUAGAAUCAUGUUUGCUCGAAAAUACAAUGGUGUACAUGAAUCCACACACACCUUACUAUUAAGUAGUGUGAUUAUUAGAAAAUAUAGAAUAGAUUAAGAUUUGUUUCUUCCUUGAUUUAUACUCCAAAAUGGUCAUGUGCUCCAAUAUAUACGUCCACGAGGCUCAAACAAUACAAUCUAACUAUUUCAUCAAUCCCUCUCUAUCCCUACUAACAUGGUAUCGCCUAACCAAUCCAACUCUAGCCACCGCCCGCUGCUUCUUCCCCGCGUAAAGCCCCUAAGGCGGCCCGUCUCCAUGACUGCCGCCGAUGGCCGCGCCGCCGUACCUAGGGUUUGUAUGUCGGUCAUAUUGACCUCUAUCGGUCAUAUUGACCGACAGCCCUAGAGAGUUUUUGUACGAUCUUUUGAUUCGGAUUCUCUCUCUCUCUCUCUCUCGCCGGUCACUUUAAUUGUCAUUUUCUUUUAGGUUUUUCGAUCUAAGAUUGGUUUGUGUCGCCCACCGCCACCAUCAACCACCGCACCUCUACUUCCACAAUUGCACGAUCUCGACCUCUUCUUUGACCCUGAGAACUUGCACAUCGUGUUGUCCCAUCUAGGCCGUCGCCCGUCGCUCUACGCUAGCCAUCACUGCCAACGAUGCAACCACCCGCCCUCUUAUUUGACCUGGUGGCCUCACGCAUCGCGACGACCUGUCACGAUCGUCGUCCGCGUGUUUGUUUGCCCGUAUCUCUGAGACGCCCGUCGCCGCCCUGCUCCGAUCAGGAUCCUGCAUCGCCUUGUCUCCACCCUGCUUAGAUGUAUGUGUCCGCCGGCCUGGCACCACGCUACACAUGAUGCGUAGACCGGCGGCAUUGUGAUGUGUGAUACGUGUCUAACGUAUGGAUAAUUUUUCAUUGUUCCAUGCUAUAAAUUUAUCAUUCUAGGAUACUUUUUGGGCAUUUAUUUUCUUAUUCAUAUUAUUUUUUAGCACCAACCUAUUAACCCAGUGCCAAGUGCCACUUGCUAUUUUCUACAUGUUUUUUAUUUUCCGAUUUAGAGUACCAAACGGAGUCCAAAUACCACGAAACUUUUUGAUGAUUUUUUUCCGACCAAAAUAUGAAAUGGAAGAUUUGGGGGAAGGCCGGGGGCCACACGAGGGCUUGAUACGUCUUCAACGUAUCUAUAAUUUUUUAUUGUUCCAUGGUGACAUAUUAUCAUUCUAGGAUACUUUUUGGGUAUUUAUUUAUCAAUUUAUAUUAUUUUUGAGCACUAACCUAUUGACCAGUGCCCAGUGCGAGUUGUUGUUUUCUGCAUGUUUUCACUUUUCAGGUUUUCCAUACCCAAAGAAGUCCAAUUAACCUGAAACUUUUUGGAGAUUUUUUCUGGACCAAAAGAAGACCAAUGAGUAUCACACGAAGGUUGGGGGCCACCCGAGGGCCCCACAAGCAAACACGUCGCUACCUAGAGUGGGGCACCCUGAUAGCUUGUGGGCCCUCGAGGCUCCCCCCACUCUGUUCUCUCGCUUAUAAAUUCUCGUAUAUCCUAAAAAGCCUAGAGACAGUCCCGAAACACUUUUUACGCCACCAUAAGUAUCUAUUUCGAUAGGAGGCCAUGUGGAGCUCCGUUCAAGCACUCUGUCAAAGGGGGGUCGAUCACGGAGGGCCUCUUCAUCAACCUUGCUUCCCUCAUGAUAAUGUGUGAGUACCUAGAUGACAAUCUCUCUCUUUGUUGAUCUUCAAUAGAAUGAUCAUCACAUCUUCGCUUUGAUCCAUGUGAUGUAAUCCUUUUCUGCAGUGCGUUUGUUGGGUCCAAUGAAUUAUUGGUUUAUGUUCAGAUUAUUCAUGAUAAAUAUUUGAGUCUUCUCUGAAUUCUAAGAUGAUUCUUAUGUGCAUGAUCAUGAUAGCUUCGUAAUUCUCUCCGAUCUAUUGAAAUAGUUUGGCCAACUAGAUUGAUAUUUCUUCGGUGAGAGAGGUGUGUUGUAGUAGGUUCAACCCGGCGAGUUUCUAUAUCCAAGUGACAAAAGGGGACAAGAUGCAUCGGUGUGUUGGUACUACUAAGAAUAACAUGAUGGGGUUUAUUCAUAUUGUUUGAGUUUACUUUGUCUACAUAUGUCAUCCGUCUCCAUGCAUUACUCUAUUUUAUUUAUUACUCUAGAUGCAUGCUGGAUAGUGGUAGAUGAGUGGAGUAAUAGUAAUAGGAGCAGGUAGGGGUCGGCUUACUCGUUUAUGAAUGUGAUGCCUAUAUACACAUGAUCAUUUCCGUGAAUAUUGCAUAACUAUCUGCUUUUCUAUCAAUUGCCCAACAGUUAUUUGUUUACCCACCACAUCUUGUUUUCAUGAGAGAUGCCACUAGGGAAAAGUAUGCCCCCGGGUCUAUUCACCAUAUAUUUACAAAACCUUCAAUACAUUUCUUCCAUUUACUUGUUUUUAUUUUAUUUUGAAAUUUACAACUAUCUACACAUCUUACUUGCUUGCAAAUGACGAGACCAAGGGGAUUGGUAACCCACUUGCCCGCGUUGGGUGCAAGUUGUUUAUUAUUUUGUGUGCAGCCGCUGAAGUCGGUUGUUGUUUGUAUUCCUAUUGGUUCUAUGAACCUUGGUUUCAUAAGCGAGGGAAAUACUUACCCACAUUGUGCUAUGAUAACCCAUUCCUCUUCAUGGUAAACCCAACGCAGAUCACAUGUAUCAGGAAGGAUUUCUAGCACCGUUGCCGGGGAAUAUCAUCAUUAACUACCAAGUAACUUCACACAAUUUUUUAUUCACUUACUCCUCUUUUUAUUUGGUGGUAUAUUUAGUUUGCCUCAUAAAAAAUAAUAUAAAAUACAAAAAUAUUUAUCUUUGCUUGUUACUAGUUUUCUUGUUUGAAGUCAUGACUAGUUCUUCCUUUGUUUGUGUUACUCCCAAUAAUGAUGUUGUCAAUUUUAAACAAAGGGGAGGAGAAAGUUUGAAAGAUGCAUGGUACAGGAUUUGCGACGCUGAAAAUAAAGAAACUAAUAAGAUAUCCACCACUACCUUGAUUCAUAAUUUUUAUGUUGGUGUGACAACUUGGCAUAGGUUUGUCCUUGACACCAUGACUGGUUGGAACUUUUUAAUGUGUCACAUUUUGGAUGCCUAUAAUGCCAUUGAAAAUCUUGUUGGAACGCCACCCAUUAUCAUUAAUGAAAUUAUUUUUUACCUUGGAACAUGUCAUGCAAAGGCUUCAUGCUAUUUAAAGGAAAAUGAUCACUAAUGAACCAAUUGAGGAGUUAGAUAAAAAACUGCAUAACCAUAUCACUCAACUUGGGUCACGUGUAGGAAUGACUUUGAAAACUUUAAAGGAAAAGAAUACUAUUAUUGAUAAGAGGGUAGAACAAGGUUUGAGUAGAAUUGAUAAAAUGGAGGAGGUGAUUGACAAAGUGGGUUUCGCAUUCGCACCAUCUAAAACUAAUGCUAGUACAUCUCAAAACAAAAGUCCCAAGUUCAUAUACAUUCCUAAGAGCAUUAGUACACCUCCUACCAAAAGAAAUGAAGAUCUCAGAAUGAUUAGUGUUCAACCCACCUUUAUAAACAUGAUAAAAGAUCUUAUUUUCAAGCCCCCUGUUAUUCCUAUUAGCCAUGGUUGUGUUAUUAAGGAUCUUGAUGUCAAAGGUGACAACACUUGAAACUAUGCAAUAUGCCUAGCUAGGAGCAUAAAACAAUAACGCUUGUUGGGAGGCAAACCAAUAGUUAUCUUUAUAUUUUCUUUUACUUUAUGUUUGUUUGUGAUAACAUGAUUUUUUUCCAUUGUAAUGAUUGUGUUUUUAUGUUUUAAUUAGUCUUUGUUCCAAGUAAAGCCUUUGGGAUGAUUUGUAUGAUUAGUAGAAUUGAUUCGGUGCAAAAACAAGAACUUUGACGUCCAAUACAUAAUUUUUCUAAUUUUACUCGAACGUCUUUUUAAGUUGAAUGCUUUAUAAAAUACUGAUAUACUAAUUUCUCAGGUCUUACUAAUUGUUCAUAAUUGUUUGAGUUACAGAAGUAUGGCAAUUAAAUGUAUCUUUACAAAUUUUCUGUUUUACGCAGAUUUUGUUUUUGUUUGCAUAGUUUGCUUGUUUUGAUUAUGUUGUUGAUUGUAUCGGGGGUAUAAGCCAUGGAGACGUUAUAACACAAUACCUUAUUCCAAAAUAAAAUAAGAAUCAACUUAUAAAACUACCUGAAGUAUUUGAUAUGUUGCUUAUACUAACGAAUCUCACGAAGUUUUGUUGAGUUUUAUGUGAAUGAAGUUUUCAAGUUUUUUGUAUUAUCCCGUUGGACAAAGGAAUGAGGAGCGGCGAAAUAGUAAGCUUGGGGAUUCCCAAGGCACUCCAAGGUGAUACUCUAGGAAGACUCAAGCGUAAAAGCUUGGGUAUGCCCCUGAAGGCAUCCCCUCUUUCUUCUCAAUCCAUCGGUAUGUCACUUGGAGCUACAUUUUUAUUCAUCACGUGAUAUGAGUUUUUCUUGGAGCGUAGUUUGCUUUGGUUUAAUUUUACUUUCAGUUUGCCACAAUCAUCAUUUGGUGGACACACUUAUUUGAUAGAGACACGCCAUCAUCAUAAUUUGUUAGAAUACUCUAUGUGCUUCACUUAUAUGUUUUCGAGCACGAUGGCAUGUAGAUUUUAUAGAAAUAGUAUGCUCUCGUUCUUCACUUGUAUUUGUUUGAGAGUUAAAUAAAUAGUAAUGGUAAUUUGCAUGGGUCAUAAUACUAUACCAAAAAUACUAGGUGUCCAAUGAGUGAUAAUUAAACCCAUCAUAUAGCACAUAUAGAGAAAUUUUGGGUUAAUUAUAUUGAUGUCGUGAUAUGAAGAAAGUGUGAGUGCAUUAUUAUUAAUUCAGAGAGGUGUCGAUAUCAAGAGAUGUUAACUUCUUGUUCCUCUAAAGAUAAAAAAGGCAUGGUGAUGAUGUGUGAGCAUUUCUAUUCCUCAUUGAAAUCCUAGUGUUGUUUCGGAUCGGGCGCGCGCGAUGGUCAUCUUCUACCAACCUCUCCCUCGGGGCAUGCGAGUAGUACUUUGAUUUGUGAUAAAUAUAAUUAAAUGCUUAAAUAAUAAUAUGAGUUCUUUAUGACUAAUGUGAUACCAUCCCUCAUAUUUGCUAGCCUCUUCGGUAUCGUGCAUUGCCCAUUCUCACCUCGAGGAUCGGUGCAACUUUAGCCGGUGCAUCCAAACCCCUGACAUGACACACUCUGUUGCACAUAAGCCUCAUUAUACCUUGCUCAAAACAGCCACCAUACCUACCUAUCAUGGCAUUUCCAUAGUCAUUCCGAGAUAGAGAGGCGAUUUCCUAUGCAUGGUGGUAGCUACACACCCUUUGGCUUAAGUGCCUUUUUUGAUAUACGAGGUGUCGGGUUCCAAUGGCAUUGGCACAAGUGCAAUUUUGUUGUAUAGAAAUGACUUUUUCUCACUUUUAUUAGUAUUUUCAUUACCUUUUUGACACAAGUGUCUUUUUGUUGUGUGGAAAUGGCGUUUUCUCACUUCUUUCAGUCUUUCUUGUCUUUUUGGCAUAAUUGCAUGUUUGCUUGUCCGACUGGUCCAAAGUCAUGAUAUUUUGUUAUAGAGUUGUUUUUCAUUUACCAAAAUAGUUAGAGAUAAAUAUUGAGGCCGUGUGAGCUACCACCAUGGAUAGCAAAUUAUUUCUGUUUCGAGAUAUAUUGCCAUGCAAGUUCAGUCGUCACUUCAGAUGACUAGUGCAUGCAUGAUCAUAUUGUUUUGCAUGAUCAUAUAGAGAUGAUAUAGUAUUUGUGGCAAAGCCACCGUUCAUCAUAUUUUUGAUACAUGUCAUGCUAGAUAUUUGCACAUCCUGGUACACUGCCAGAGGCAUUCAUAUAGAGUCAUACCGUCCUAUCAGUCUUCCUGUUGAGUUGUAAGUAAAUAAAAGUGAGACGAUCAUCAUUAUUGGAGCAUUGUCCCAGUGAGGAAAUAAAAAUGGGGGAGGUCAAAUGAUCCGACCAUAAUAAAAAAUGAACGAGAGAAAAAGAGAGAAGGGACUUUGCUACUAUCCUUUACCACACUUAUGCCUCAAAGUGGCACCUUGUUAUUCAUAUAGAGAGUCUCAUGUUAUACCAUUCAUAUGAUAGUGGGAACCACUUUUUCAUAAACUUGGCUUGUAUAUUCCGAUGAUAGGCUUCUUCAAAUGCCCGAGGUCUUCAUGAGCAAGCAAGUUUGAUGCACACCCCACUUAGCUUGAGUUGAGCUUUCAUACACUUACAGCUCUAGUGCAUCAUUUGCAUGGCAAUUCCUACUCCUUGAAUCGAUAUCUAUCGACGGGUAUCUCCAUAGCAGUACGCCUAGUUGGUGUGAGACUAUCUUCUCCACUUUUGACCCUUUUGAUACCUAUCAUCAUAUUCUAUUCCACCUAUAUGCUAUGUCCAAUGGUUCACGCUCAUGUAUUGCGUGAAGAAUAAAAAGUUGAUGCAUAUUGAAAAGUACGAUCCAAUUGCCUCACUUGGGCACCGUGGUGCCUGACUUUUGUAUUAAUGUGGUGAAGAUGGAGCCAUGCAUUGCAAAUAUAAUAAGAUGAAUGGGGGUAAAACAAUCUUUGAGGAUCAUAUACUUUGAAAGAUUAAUGAACUUGUUGCUUAUACUUACAAGUAUUGUUAUGUUAGUGUUUGUUAAUUCAUCAUUUCUCAAUUAGCAUACAUGCGUAAGAUUAUAUAAUGGGUAGCAUGUCACAUCAAAUUUUCUGUUUUUAUCAUUUACCUACUCGAGGACGAGCAUGAAUAAAGCUUGGGGAUGGUUGAUACCUCUCCAACGUAUCUAUAUUUUGUAUUGUUCCAUGAUGAUAUAUUGUCAUUCUAGGAUAUGGUUCGAUAUUUUUUUUUACCAAUUUAUAUUAUUUUUCAGCACUAACCUAUUGACCAAGUGCCUAGUGCCAGUUGUUGUUUUCCGCAUAUUUUUCACUUUUCAGGUUUUCAAUACCAAACGAAUUCCAAUUGACCUGAAACUUUUUGGAGAUUUUUUCUGGACAAAAAAAACACCAAUGAGUAUCAGAAGAAGGUUCGAGGCUACCCGAGGGCCCCACAAGACAACGCGGCGCGGUCUGGCAGGGCGCCCCGAUGGCUUAUGGGACCCACGAGGCUAUCUCAACUCUGUUCUCUGGCUUAUAAAUCCUCAUAUAUACCAAAAACCUUAGAGGCAGUCACAAAACACUUUUUACGCCUCCACAAGUCUCUGUUCCGAUGGGAGGCCAUCUGGAGCUCCGUUCGGGCAACCUGCCGGAGGUGGGAUUGAUCACGGAGGGCCUCUUCAUGAACCUUGCUACCCUCAUGAUGAUGUGUGAGUAGUUCACCAGAGACCUAUGGGUCCAUGGCUAGUAGCUAUAUGGAAAUCUCUCUCUCUCUCUCUGUUGCUCUCUUAAUCUUCAAUACAAUGAGCAUCGCAUCUUCACUUUGAUCCAUAUGAUGUAAUCCUUUUGUGCGGUGCAUUUGUUGGGAUCCGAUGAAUUGUGGGUUUAUAUUCAGAUUAUUCAUGAUAAAUAUUUGAGUCUUAUUUGACUUCUAAUAUGAUUAUUAUUUGCAUGACUAUGAUAGCUUGGUAAUUCUCUCUGUUCUAUUGAAAUAGUUAGGCCAACUAGAUUGAUAUUUCUUCGGUGAAAGAGUUGCGGUGUAGUAGGUUCAACCUGGCAAGUGUCUAUAUCCUAGUGACGGAAGGGGACAAGAUGCGUCUUUGUGUUGCUGCUACUAAGGAUAACAUGAUGGGGUUUAUUCAUAUUGCUUGAGUUUACUUUUUCUACAUCAUGUCAUCUUUCUCCAUGCAUUACUCUGUUUUACUUAAUACUCUAGAUGCAUGCUAGAUAGCGAUCGAUGAGUGGAGUAAUAUUAAUAACUGCAGGCAGGAGUCAGCCUAUUUUUUAUGCAUGUGAUGCCUAUAUACACAUGAUCAUUGCUUUCAAUAUCGCAUAACUAUCCUCUUUUCUAUCAACUGCCCAAAAGUAAUUUCUUUACCCACCUUAUGUUGUUUUCCUGCGAGAUGCCACUAGGGAAAACUAUGCCCCCCGGGUCUAUUCAUCAUAUAUUUACAAAACCUUAAAUACCUUUCUACCAUUUACUUGUUUUCAUUUUAUUUUGUGAUUUGCAAUUAUCUACACAUCUCACUUGCUUGCAAAUAACGGGACCAAGGGGAUUGACAACCCUCUUGCCCGCGUUGGGUGCAAGUUGUUUGUUCUUUUGUGUGCAACAGCUAAAGAAGGUUGUUGUUGAUAUUCCUAUUGGUUCGGUAAACCUUGGUUUCAUAGCUGAGGGAAAUAAUUACCCACAUUGUGCUGCCAUAACCCGUUCCUCUUCAUAGAAAACCCAACACAGAUCACAGGUAUCACGGCUGCAGAAGCAAACAGGGCGUGCCGUGGGGGGUGGUCGUGCCAUGUUAGCUUGUGGGCCACCCCCUUGUCCCCUGACCUUGUUCCCCAUCUUAGAAAUUAUUCUUAAUCUCAAAAACCCCGGGGGAGUUCCUGAAACACUUUUUCGCCGCCGCAAGAUUUUGUUCUGCCAUGUGCCCAUCUAGAGCCCUUCUCCGGUGCCCUGCAUGAAGGGGAUCGAUCGUGGAGGGCCUCCACAUCAUCCUUUCUGCUCCCAUUGUUCUUCAAUACAAAGUUCAUCACAUCUUCGUGAUGAUCUAUUCGAUGUAAUCACUUUGUUCAGUGUGUUUGUUGGGAUCCGAUGAAUUAUGGGUUUAUGUUCAGAUUAUUCAUGAUAAAGAUUUGAGUCUCCUCUAAAAUUAUUUCUGAUUCUUAUUUGCAUGAUUAUUAGUGCUUCGUAAAUCUCUCCGAUCUAUUGAUUUUGUUUGGCCAACUAGAUUAAUCUAUCUUCAGUGUCAGGUGUGCAUUAUAGUGGGUUCAAUCUUGCAAUACUCAAUACCAGUGACAAAAAGGGACAUGACACGUAUUUGUAUUGUUGCCACUAAGGAAAAAAUGAUAGGGUUGAUUCAUAUUAAUUAAGUUCUCUUUAUCUACAUCAUGUCAUUGUUCUCCAAGCAUUACUUUGUUUUACUUAAUACUCUAGAUUCAUGCUGAAUAGCGGUCGAUGGGUGGAUAAUAGUAGUAGCACUACUAGGAGAAAGGCUAGUAGUAGCGUUUGAUUUACCCAUACCAGUAGCGCUGGUGGCAGCGCUAGUGCUAAGGCGCUACACGUAAGUUUUAGCAGUAGCGUUGGAUAACCAGCGAUACUGGUAACCAAGUUAGCAGUAGCGCUAGAGGACACCAAGCGUUGCUGCUAAACCAGCGCUACUUCUAAUAUUCCUACGAGCAUUAAUGCUAAUAUUCCUACUUUCAAGAAUUUAAUUCCCCUCUACGUAUUUGUGCAUGCUCUAUAUAGUAGUUUCAUCAUAUCAUAAUAAAUAUACAUUAUUCUCAUCAUAUCAUACACAUAAAGUAGUCUCGUCAUAUAUACCAUCAUCAUUAUCCAACAAAAAUAUCAUCACAUCUUGAAAAUAGCGAUACACAAGUCAUGUCUCGAAUAAAUGCAACUGCAUGGUCAUGGCACACCCACAAGUUUCUUCAUCUCUAUCUAAACCAUGAUGCAGAAGAGAAGAGCGAUCAACAUGAGAAAGAGCGCGACUAUGUAGUACUUAUUGAGGCACCGGUUUCGCUCCCUCUUUUCCCGUAGCAUCCACCUCAAGUAACUCUUUUCCGCUUCGGCUCUGUUGUCGAACCCUCUAUGGCUAGCGCCCGGGUACCUGUCCACCUGGGCCUGAGCGUAUGGCCAGUGGUCAUACACUCGUGGAACCCUCUCAAUGAAUAUGACGUAUCAGUCCUUUGCCAUCUCUGAUCUAUAUACCUGCAUCGUAAGUUGAUAAAUUCAACGAUAAUAAGCAACAUAAUGUACUUGAGAAACACAAAGAUGCAUAGUUAUCCAAAUACAAGCAACCUAUAGUAAACAUAAAUAAUGAAGUUCCUCAUACACAAUCUAAUUAACUAGAGCGAUGUACGCUAGUUCAUAGAAAGAUAGUAGUACUAAUUGUAAACACACAUUGCCAUCGUCAAUCACUCCUCCAUGUCGGCACUCCAAUCUUCAUAGUCAGGGAGGAAGGACCCGAGCUUUGUGAAAGGAUUCAGGUCCAGACGUUGAGCGAGUAGCAGUUCUCGGACAUUCUCCCGCCUCAUUGGCCCAUGUAAGAACAUCCAUGUUUGUUCUACGACCUCCUUCAUGAUCACAUGGGAAAGCUCACACUGUAUGUGAUCAAACUCAGCUCGUAUUCGAUGAUCCAGUGUCCUUCCUAUGCUCGUGGCCUAGUUUACAAUCUCGGCAUCACUAGAAGAAGCUGACAUGCGAAGGCGUUGUUUAUCACUUCUGUACUCGAUCAUGUGAUGCAUGAGGAAGAAUCCUUCAGCCUUACUAUUGUUCGGUUGCUGGAUGCAGUAGAAGUUGGUCUUAUGUCCGAAAGCAGGAGCUUUAUGCGUGUACCUUUUCACCUUGAUAUAUCCACGAGUAAGGUUGAAGGUUAAAAUGGCACUAUCGAGAACACUCUUUAUGUGCAUGUAAUCCUUUUUCUUGAUGUUCUUCGCUGAGUCCAAGUACAAAGCAUGGGAGUAUUGUGGGUACACACAGAUGAGGACCCCCUCCCCACUGUGCAAAAUAAGUACACCUCAAAUUAGCCUCCAUGCUAGCAAAGGAAUGAUCAAAACUUACGAAAGGAUAUCCGCGGAUGACUUACGUGGGAUGAUUAGGCAGGAGAAUAAUUUCCAUGUCCUUCUUUGCGAUCAUGAACUCGCUGGUGUACUUGUUCGCAUAGUCACGAUGCUUUUUGCAGACUGUCAAGAAGCUCUCGUGCAUAUAGUACGGGUCCGCAAUGCAUAUAUAUUCUAUGUUCUCAUGCCUGUUCAUGUAGUUGAGAUACAUCGCAUAUAGUCGGAUGAACUAAAAAUCUAGCUUGGUCAUGUGGAACAUGUCAUAGAUGUAGUGAAAUAGUAGGAUGAACUUAUCUGGGUGCCAUCUGUCGAUGUAUGACAUCGCACCCGGAACUCGGGAAAAGUUCUGAGCUGAGAAGUCUUUUCUCUAUGGCCAGCACAUCAUAAUGAAGUGUCCUUAGAUCAUUGUUCAGUAUGUUCUCUAGCGCUUUCUAAGGUAGGAUCGGGUGGCUAGCGACAUGGAAACGCUCCGCACCUACGACAGGUAUUCUGUCUACCUCUCGGGGCUUCAGAGGCGGUUGGCUGCUUGAUGCAGCUCUCGCGCCUUUAGAGCCUUUCCUGCCCGGUCUCCUCCUUUGCUUCUUGGCGGGUGGCGGUAGUGAGCCCACCAUACAUUACCUAAUCACCACCCCCAGUAUCGCCGGGCUAAUCAUCAGUGGACGGCCCCCGCGUAGUUCUUGCUGGGUAGAGGCGGCAUCUGGAUGGGGAUCCUGCGAGGAUCGCAUGAAGAGAGACUUUUUGCAAUCAGCCGUAGGAUGUUCUGGCUCCAGCAAAUCAGGCAACAUCAAGUCAUCUCCAUGUUCAUAGCCCGAGUCAUAGUGCCGAUCAUCGUCAUAGCCGGUAUUGAUAUACUGGUUAAGGUCAUCAUCACCAUCCUCCAUGACAUCAUCAGCAUUUUCUUCUUAGACGGGGGCAACAUCAUCUGGCAAUAAUGGAGGCCCUCCCUCACUGUGUCGUCUUCUAUCACUUGCCAUGACAGGUGCAGGUAAUUGGGUAGGUGAGGUGGUGUACAUACCUUGUUGAGGAGUUGCAUUGGUGUUCUACCGCGCGCCUCGACAGGAAGGUGAGUCUCCGGCCAAGGAAAGAACCAGCUCUUGCAUGCGCCAAUCUAUUUAGGGGUCUCGUCAUCAUCGACUGGUACUGGAAGAGGCAAAUCCUCGAAGCCCACUUUGACACUGGCCACACAAACUUUGAAUACGCUAUGGAGCAUCUGUCGGUUGUAGAGCAUGCGGUCCUUUGACUUCACGUCGUUGCCUUUCCCACAUCCACCUUCUAGCCGUUGAUAUCGUAGAGUAGGGUGCACAGGGUUUCGUCGGCCUGCGAAGACAUGACUAUGAUGUCAGACAUCCGAAAAGCAACUGAAAUGGAAGACUAUAGAUAUGCUGGUGAAGAGUGUAUGACGCGUAAUUACCGUGAUGACGUCGAGCUUAGCCAAAGAUGAAGCCCUGCGGAGCAUGCCAGAGACGGAGGACGGGCUGCUAUGAACCGGAUCGAGACCAGGUACGGGAGCUUGUGCGGUUGCGUGAGCAGGUGCUGGUUGUGCGAUUGUCACAUCCCUGAUCCCUAUUAGGUUUUGUAUGAUAUGCUCAUGUUUUAUUUCAAUGCAUCCAAGGAAAUGAAAUGAAAACCCAAAAGCAAAGCAAGAAAACCAAAUCAAAACCCUAGCAACCCCUCAUUCAAAAGCAUUUCAAACUUGAUGUCAAAUCAAUGAACCCAAAAUGGCCUAAAGAAAAGUUAAUCUUUUCUGAUAAAUAUACAAAACAAGAUAUCAGAGAUGAAACUUAUUUUCAAUCNNNNNNNNNNNNNNNNNNNNNNNNNNNNNNNNNNNNNNNNNNNNNNNNNNNNNNNNNNNNNNNNNNNNNNNNNNNNNNNNNNNNNNNNNNNNNNNNNNNNNNNNNNNNNNNNNNNNNNNNNNNNNNNNNNNNNNNNNNNNNNNNNNNNNNNNNNNNNNNNNNNNNNNNNNNNNNNNNNNNNNNNNNNNNNNNNNNNNNNNNNNNNNNNNNNNNNNNNNNNNNNNNNNNNNNNNNNNNNNNAAGAAAAAAAAAGAAAAAAACCUAUUCUACGCCUACCUCCAGGCCGAGCUCACCAAGGGCAGGGUCGUCUUCUACCUCUGACUACUAGCAUAGGAGAGACCGAGCGGCGGCCUCCUCCACCUCCUGCUUCGCCGUGUCACCCUCCGACACCCCCAGGACAACGGGAACGAAACCCCCACGCACUCCCUUAUCCUCUCCCUCUCUCCAUUUCUCCUCCCCCCAUCGGUUUCUUCCUCUCCCCUUCCUGCCGCCACUGGAGGAGCUUGAGCUCGAGGCAACCGCGCUCUCUAGCCACACGAAAACCUCCUAGAGCGUUCCAUCACCUCCGCUCGUCGAUCUCGUCGUCUACGCCAAAGGAAUUGACCCCUGGGGCUCUGCAACGCAUCAAUCGCCGUCGUCUUCAACCUCCGGCCGUCGGCAAGUCGUUGUUAGAUCGCAGGCUACACCACCUCCCCGAGCAGUCUGAGCCCCGCAUCAUCACCACCGUGAGCUCAUGAGUGUUUCCCCUCUCUUUUCUCUCUCUCUCUCUCCUGCACUCUAGCACCAUGGCCAUCGAAACCGAGAUCCGGCAGCCGCCACAGCUCGUCGCCGGUGCCCUCCGGCCACCCUCAGCCUCUCUUGCUACCCUAGUUGGAUGAGGCCGAGCCUGAGAUUCAUCCCAGUGCUUUCGGCACUCGAAUCCGAGCACCACAGCGAGUUUUGGACCAACUACGGCGAGGAACCGCCGCGGGUUUGGUUGCCGCCGGUCAGCCUGCGACGGGGAAUGACAUGGCCACCCUAACCCCUUGUUAAUUAACGCUAACAGCCACUGACAGUGGGCCCCAGGAGUGGGUCAAACCCACUUAGGGGCUGGUCAGCGCGGGAUUAGCCCGUGUGACGCUUACCAGUGGCCCCCACAUGUCAAGCUUGACCUGACCAGGUCAGCUAACCUGCUGACGCAGAGCUGAUGCAAUAAUGGGAUUUUCUGUUAUAAAGGAAUUCUAGAAAAUGUCUAAAACUUCUAAAAAUCAUAGAAAAUAAUCUGUAAGUCNNNNNNNNNNACCUGUACGGAACUGCCGCUUUAGCUUAUGACUAGACAUGUCAAUCCGGGUUCUUUGACAUUGGAUUCCUAGCGACAGAAUUGCAUACGUGAGUCAAAAGGCGCAAACGAUCCCGGCUAAGGUAAGGCUGCAGUUGUGGGGAUAACCAUGCGUGAGACCGCAAAGAGAUGCGAUGUGUUACAGGCUGGAUUCCUAUGGCUUAGGAUUGGGGUCCCGACAGCGUUGGUAUCAGAGCCUGACUGACUGUAGGAUUACUAAGCCAAACUGUUCGAAGUUGAGUCUAGAAUCGCUUUAGUUAUACAUAAGGGAAUUGUUUGUGGAAGGGAACGUAAGAUUCUUGCUUCUCUUCUUUAAUUAUUCUAUUCUGGUCAUCCUCGUCUUUUCUGCGGGGAUUAAGGACUAGGUUACUUAUCUUUCUGUUAGGCUCGUGUUUCUGACCGGUAGAUUAUAGGACAACGAGUCGAGAGUUACUUCGGGUUUCUUUUAUUCCAAGGAAAAGAAAGUAAGUUUUGAUGACCAUCAAAUUGAACUUGGUAGUUGAGUGGUUACGCUACCGUAUUGUUAUGGGUUGUCUCAAAAUUGUUUUUGAGCAUUUACAGCCGUUAUGCUGCCCAAUUUUGUCUUUAGAGCUCUAAUGCUUUUGCAUUACUCUCUAUUUUCAGAUGCCUGGCUGUCCUUCUCGUCAGGUGGUCCGUCUGACUAGGUGCAUUGAUGUGCCGGGUCUUACGGCCAUGCUAGUCAGGAUGAUGUCAGUAUCCGGUUACCGCUGGUACCCAGAGUACACAGUGGAGGAGCAUUACCGGGAUUUUAAUCAGAGUCAGUAUCUGUGUACUGUUAGGGUAUUCCCAGAUUACCUUGGAGCUGAGGAGCCGAUCCAUUGGUCUUAUGGAUUGGGGGUCACUGUUGACAUGGCAGUACAAGAUGCUGCCUAUUCAAUGCUGACCAUCAUGAGGGCCAGACAUGCACUGCUGCAUAAUGCAGAGUUCUGCUAUGUUCCCGCCUCUCAGCCAGGUGAAGAAGGAUACCUCAGUGGGGUCUACUUUGAUUUCUCUAUGGAGGAUCCACUGCUGCAGUCCACUGCUGAGAUGCUAGAGAAUAGAGACAGGGAUGCUCGUGCCCUUCGUAUGGAGCUUUAUGCUACACGUGCCCGUCUGUGGAUGGCUUUGACACAACUGGCACCUGUAGUCCAGAUAGGGUAUGGAGAUAUGGAGAUGUUGAACCCUGUUAGGACCCAUCUUCCGGCUCAUGUUGACUGGCCUGCUAUAGGAGGAUUCACCCCUCUUCGGGGACCUCUACUACCACCAGUCAGGGGACCAAGGCCACACCCGUGUCCUUACGGAUCCCAGGGGUCUCAGGCUGGAGUAUUUCCUGAUCCGCAGGUUGAGCUUCCAAGCCAUGGAGGCAAUCUUUAUGAGAUGUUCUAUGCGGAUGCCUGAACCGUGAGUAAAAGGAUAGUAUGGUAGUAGUUGUACUUCCACAUGCCUGUGUGACUUGUCUUGGGUCGUGAGAUGAAUUCCGGAUGCAUAGAUAAAUAAUGUAUAGGAAGCUUGGAAGCCUCUGAUGAGUAGUUUCAUGUUUUCAGUAGUUUGCUCUUUGGUUAAGGUUGUACUGAACUAUGUAAUGGUGUGUAUGAACCAUGGUGUAUAUAUAGCAGUUGCUUGUUACCAUGUUGUUCGGAUGUUCAUUUCCGCAUUCCAUGUGUUCAGUGCAUUCUUAAUCCAUAGUUAGUGUUGAUGUUGAUAUUGGUCUAAGCUGUGAGUUUGUUUGUCAGGAUGGUGUUCACCAGGUUGAACCGUGCCCCUGCUCAUGAGCAAGGAGAGGGUAGUCAAGCAUCGCAGGAGGAACUGCCUCACCCUCCUUCUCUGGCGGAAGUUAUGCUUGAGGCAGAGAGAAACAAAAGGGAGACCAACCGUCUAUUAGAGCGUAUUGAGAAAAAUACGGCUCGUCAGCCUAGGAAUGAUGCAGUGUCCCUCAAUGACUUUGUGAAGCUGAAUCCUCCAAAGUUCCAUCACUCCAUCGAUCCCCUCGACGCUGAUGAUUCGCUGUGCAGUAUAUCAUGCAAGAUUCGCUCUACAAAUGUUUUUGAGGCCGACAAGGUGGCCUUUGCGGCGUACUUUCUGGAAGGACCUGCCAAUCUAUGGUGGGAGAACUUUGAAGAUAUGCGUCCUGUCAGACCAGCAACCACAUGGGCAGACUUUAGUGCAGCCUUCCGUCUGCACCAUAUUCCAGAGGGCUUGAUGGACAAAAAGAGAGAGGAGUUAUGUGCAUUCACCCAGGGAAAGUUGACCGUGGAUGCCUAUAGCCGCGAGUUCGGUAACCUCGCCCUCUAUGCAACAGAGGAGGUCUCUACUGAUGCCAAUAAGCAAGCAAGAUUCUGUAAGGGUCUGAGCCGUGAACUUCGUCGUGAUUUGCGCCUCCACGAAUGUACAAGCUUUCAAGCUCUUGUCAACAAGGCGAUCAGUGCCGAGACUGGUCAUACCGACUAUGAAGCCACAAAGAAGCACUCCCGUGACUCGGGCUCGUCAUCUGGUUCAGCGUUCCCAAAAUGCAGGUUGUGGGUUACAAAUAGUUCUCUGCCGCCAAGAUACACUACGAGGCUAUCCUAUGGGGCGCCUCAGACGAAGCAGACCAACCCUCCAGCAAAAACCUAUGGUGGUCCAGCUAGCAAUGUUGCACCACAUGCCAAUCAGGUGAUAUGUUACAAGUGUGGAGAACGAGGGCACUAUUCCCGAGAGUGUCUUCAGAACAUGGGUGCCUAGCAACCCAUAAAGUCCAUUGGGCAAGGCAAGUCGGGCAAAGCUUACUAUGUGAAGCCAACUCCUGCACGUGGCCGUGUGAACUAUGUUUCAGCAGAAGAAGCUGCAGAGGAUCCCGACGUCAUACUAGGUACACUCCUUGUUAAUCAUCACCCAACGUCUGUUAUUUUUGACACUGGGUCAUCUCAUUCCUUCAUUUCAGAAAGUUAUGCACAGUUGCAUAACAUGUAUUUCUGUGAUAUGCCAAUCCCAUUGGUUGUCAAACCCCUGGUAGUAAGUGGCAAACCUCCAGGAUAACCUAUGACAAUGAAAUUCUAGUAGACAAGCUAGUUUUUCUAGCAUCUUUGAUAGCCCUGAAAUCUUUGGAUAUCAAUAUCAUCUUGGGUAUGGACUGGAUGUCAGCUCAUUAUGCCAAGAUUGAUACUCAUUCUAGAAAUGUUCAGCUUACCCAUCCCUAGGGUGAGAUAGUCAAUGUCUCUACUCGAGUUGCCAAAUGCGAACUCUAUUCCCUCAAUGCCAACCCUCUUCCAGAACUUGAAGACAUUCCGGUAGUCCGUGACUUCCCGGAUGUUUUUCCAGAGGAACUGCCAGGAAUUCCACCUCACAAAGAUGUAGAGUUUGUGGUAGACCUUGUUCCGGGAACCGUUCCAAUAGCCGGAAGACCUUAUAAAAUGGCACCCCUGGAGCUAGCCGAACUUAAAAAGCAAUUAGAUGAGGCCUUGAAUAAAUGUUUCAUUCAUCCUAGCUCUUCUCCUUGGGCUUGUCCCGUCCUCUUCGUCAAGAAGAAAGACAGAACGGAUCGGAUGGUUCUAGAUUAUCAAACAGUUAAUCUGGUCACCAUAAAGAACAAAUAUCCGCUCCCCAGGAUUAAUGAUAUUUAUGACCAGCUUGCUGGAUCCUCAGUCUUCUCAAAAAUGGAUUUGAGGUUGGGAUACCAUUAAAUCAAGAUCAAGAACGGGGACAUUCCAAAAACGGUUUUUGUCACUCGUUAUGCCCAAUACGAGUACACCAUCAUGUCCUUUGGUUUAACCAAUGCCCCAGCCACCUUCUCUCGCUUGAUGAAUUCAAUCUUCAUGGAGUAUUUGGAUAAAUUCGUUGUAGUAUACCUCGAUGAUAUUCUCAUCUACUCGAAGAACGAACAAGAACAUGCCGAGCAUCUAAGGCUGGUAUUGAUGAAACUUCGAGAGCAUCACCUUUAUGCCAAGUUUUCAAAAUGUGAAUUUUGGUUACCAGAAGUGACCUAUCUAGGUCACGUAAUCUCUGGUAAGGGCAUUGCUGUCAAUACCGAGAGAGUUCAAGCUGUCCUUGAUUGGACUCAACCUGAAUCGGUUAAGCAAGUUAGGAGUUUUCUUGGUUUAGCGAGCUACUGUCGCCGCUUUGUCGAGAAUUUCUCCAAGGUUGCAAAGCCUCUAACUGAACUCCUCAAGAAAGAUAAAAAGUUCGAGUGGACACCACAGUGUGAGCAUAGUUUUCAGGAACUGAAAACACGCCUGACUUCCGCACCUGUGUUGCUACCACCAGAUUUCUCUAAGGACUUUGUUAUCUACUGCGACGCCUCGCGACAAGGAUUAGGUUGCAUUCUCAUGCAGGAUCGUCAUGUGAUUGCAUAGCAUCUCGACAGUUGCGUCCACAUGAGGAUAAUUAUCCACACAUGAUCUUGAGCUUGCAACAGUAGUCCAUGCACUUAAAAUCUGGCGACAUUACCUUCUUGGUAAUCAUUGCGAAAUAUUCACUGAUCUCCAAAGUCUGAAAUAUAUCUUCACCCAACCGGAUUUGAAUCUCAGUCAAAGACGGUGGGUUGAGUUGAUCACGGAUUACGACUUAGGGAUAACUUACACCCCGGGGAAGGCCAAUGUUAUGGCUGAUGCACUAAGUCGUAAGUCUUAUUGUAACAAUCUGAUGCUACAACAAGGUCAACCACGUCUCUAUGAGGAAUUUCAGAAGUUAAAUCUUCACAUUGUUCCUCAAGGAUUCCUUUUUACCCUGGUGGCGAAGCCUACUCUUAGGGAUCAAAUCAUAGUCGUGCAAGCAUAUGAUAAGGGUAUAUCCCGGAUCAAGAAUAAUAUUGCUAGCAGAAACACUAGGGAUUUCUCUAUCAAUGAGCAAAGUGUUGUGUUCUUUCAGAACCGUCUAGUGGUUCCUAAGAGCAAAUGUCUGCGGCAAUUGAUCCUUAAGCAGGCUCAUGAUUCUCCUCUCACCAUUCAUCCUAGUAGUACUAAGAUGUAUCAGGACCUACGCCAGAGGUUUUGGUGGACUAGGAUGAAGAGAGAAAUUGCUGAGUUCGUUGCUAACUGCGAUGUUUGUCGUCGAGUUAAGGCAGAACAUUAAAGGCCUGCUGGCACCCUUCAAGCUUUAGCUAUUCCUGAAUGGAAAUGGGAUAAAGUCAGUAUGGAUUUCAUCAUCGGAUUUCCCAAGACCAAGAAAGGAAAUAAUGCUAUCUUUGUGGUCAUUGACCGUCUUUCCAAAGUAGCUCAUUUUCUUCCAGUUCGUGAGAGUAUAACAGCUAGCCAGCUAGGAGAGUUAUAUAUCUCUCGAAUAUUGUCUCUUCAUGGUGUUCCUCUGGAGAUUAACUCGGACCGUGGAAGUAUCUUUACUUCUCGCUUCUGGGAGAGUUUUCAGAAUGCCAUGGGGACUCACUUAUCUUUUAGCACUGCUUUCCAUCCUCAAUCAAGUGGUCAAGUAGAAAGAGUGAAUCAAGUCCUAGAAGAUAUGCUCCGAGCUUGUGUUAUAUCGUUCGGUAUGAAUUGGGAGAAGUGCCUUCCAUUCGCCGAAUUUGCCUAUAACAAUAGUUAUCAAUCAAGCUUGGGCAAAGAUCCUUUUGAAGUUCUCUAUGGACGAAGAUGUCGAACACCUCUUAAUUGGUUAGAAACUGGAGAGCGGCAACUCUUUGGCCCGGAUAUGAUCCAGGAUGCAGAAGAGCAAGUUCGCAUUAUUCGUGAAAAGCUGAAAACAGCCCAGUCUCGUCAAAAGAGCCAAUAUGAUGGUCAUCAUAAGGCUGUGACCUUUGAAGUUGACAAGAAGGCUUACCUUAGGGUUACACCUCUAAAGGGUACCCAUCGAUUCGGUAUCAAGGGCAAGUUGGCUCCUCGUUACAUUGGUCCUUUUCGCAUUCUUGCCAAACGAGGAGAAGUUGCCUACCAGUUGGAACUUCCUCCGCAUCUUUCCAAGGUUCAUGAUGUAUUCCACGUCUCGCAACUCAGGCAUUGCUUUUCGGAUCCUAUCCGUGAAGUGGACCACGAAACGCUUGAUCUCCAAGAUAACCUUUCAUACCAAGAAUACCCUAUGUGUAUUGUUGAUCAAGCUGAGCGUACCACUCGACGUCAAAACCUCAAGUUUCUUAAAGUUCAAUGGUCAAAUCAUUCUGAAAAGGACACAACAUGGGAAAGAGAGGAUCGUCUCCGACUUGAGUACCCCGCGCUAUUCCCGACGACUUCCAAAUCUCGGGACGAGAUUCUUUUGAGUGGGGGUGAGUUGUCACAUCCCUGAUCCCUAUUAGGUUUAGUAAGAUGUGCUCAUGUUUUCUUUCAAUGCAUCCAAGGAAAUGAAAUGAAAACCCAAAAGCAAAGCAAGNNNNNNNNNNNNNNNNNNNNNNNNNNNNNNNNNNNNNNNNNNNNNNNNNNNNNNNNNNNNNNNNNNNNNNNNNNNNNNNNNNNNNNNNNNNNNNNNNNNNNNNNNNNNNNNNNNNNNNNNNNNNNNNNNNNNNNNNNNNNNUUGAACCCAAAAUGGCCUUAAGAAAAGUUCAUCUUUUGUGAUAAAUAUACAAAACAAGAUAUCAGAGAUGAAACUUAUUUUCAAUCCACUUUUGGCAUUUUAAUUUUAAGUUAAAAGCUACUGAAUUCAA